rnacentral:rRNA from 1 species
GACGAACGCUGGCGGCGUGCUUAACACAUGCAAGUCGAACGGAAAGGCCCUGCUUUUGUGGGGUGCUCGAGUGGCGAACGGGUGAGUAACACGUGAGUAACCUGCCCUUGACUUUGGGAUAACUUCAGGAAACUGGGGCUAAUACCGGAUAGGAGCUCCUGCUGCAUGGUGGGGGUUGGAAAGUUUCGGCGGUUGGGGAUGGACUCGCGGCUUAUCAGCUUGUUGGUGGGGUAGUGGCUUACCAAGGGUUUGACGGGUAGCCGGCCUGGGAGGGUGACCGGCGACAUUGGGACUGCGAUACGGCCCAGACUCCUACGGGAGGCAGCAGUGGGGAAUAUUGCACAAUGGGCGGAAGCCUGAUGCAGCAACGCCGCGUGCGGGAUGACGGCCUUCGGGUUGUAAACCGCUUUCGCCUGUGACGAAGCGUGAGUGACGGUAAUGGGUAAAGAAGCACCGGCUAACUACGUG